UACGUGAACGGCGAGUGUUAUUCAGUUUUGUUAGGUGUAAAGUGAACGUAGACGGCCUUACAAGUUAAUGCGUAAAGCAGCCAAGAAAUUGGUUUAGCGUCAUUAAUACUGUAUCGCUAGGAUAAGGAAGGGGUUAACAGAACAGCUAAGGUAGUGGUGAAAUACGUUGAUCUUAGCUAGAAUGCCAAAGGUGAAGACAGUUAACCAUUUUUUAUCGACGUUGAUGUUCGAAAGCUAAAGUAUCGAAACGG
rnacentral:rRNA from 1 species